UAGCACUUUAUAACUAUAUGUAUACCUGUUUUAAAACAAUUUUUUCUUUAACUAUAAUCAUUGAAUUCUAAGUAGUGUCAUACUAUUGGCAUGAAAGAUUUACUAAAGCUACAACAAUGUGCAUUACGAUAUGAACACAGGAGAUGCAGAGGACGAAGGUGAUCCCAAACGCUGUGUGGCGCAACAUACAGGACCACUCAGAGGGCUGACCAAUGAAACACAGGGCAGACAGUCAAAGCAGCAGAUGGGCAUGCCUUUCUUUCUGGCUCUUCUGGUUCCCAGAGGGCAGCUUUCACUGCACACAGACCUCGGUGGCUAAGAAAUGGAGAGUCCAGACUCAUCAGCAAUGCAUUACUUCAGCUUUCCAGAACAGAGCAUCCUCAUUCAAUGUAAGGACAUGGUCUGUCUGUGCAGCUUCAUCCACCACACCAACUGUGUGGACCCUGAUUGACC